ACAGCAGCAUCCACGGUAAUACGGAGGGUGCAAGCGUUAUCCGGAUUUAUUGGGUUUAAAGGGUCCGUAGGCGGAUCUGUAAGUCAGUGGUGAAAUCUCACAGCUUAACUGUGAAACUGCCAUUGAUACUGCAGGUCUUGAGUAAAUUUGAAGUGGCUGGAAUAAGUAGUGUAGCGGUGAAAUGCAUAGAUAUUACUUAGAACACCAAUUGCGAAGGCAGGUCACUAAGAUUUAACUGACGCUGAUGGACGAAAGCGUGGGGAGCGAACAGGAUUAGAUACCCCCGUAGUCCCUGUCUCUUAUAC
rnacentral:rRNA from 1 species